AUACGUAGGGGGCGAGCGUUAUCCGGAUUUACUGGGUGUAAAGGGAGCGUAGACGGCGAUGCAAGUCUGAAGUGAAAACCCGGGGCUCAACCCCGCGGACUGCUUUGGAAACUGUGUUGCUGGAGUGCAGGAGAGGUGAGUGGAAUUCCUAGUGUAGCGGUGAAAUGCGUAGAUAUUAGGAGGAACACCAGUGGCGAAGGCGCCUCCCGGUAUUGUACUUGACGUUGAGGCGCGAAAGCGUGGGGAGAAAACAGGAUUAGAUCCCCGGGUGGGCCCCGCCGUAAACGAUGAAUGCUAGGUGUCGGGGGGCAAAGCCCUUCGGUGCCGCCGCUAACGCAUUAAGCAUUCCACCUGGGGAGUACGUUCGCAAGAAUGAAACUCAAAUGAAUUGACGGGG
rnacentral:rRNA from 1 species